rnacentral:lncRNA from 1 species
UGGCCUCGCCCGCCCCUGGCCGCCAUGUUGGCACAGUUCGGCGCACUCCCUUCAGCGCCGCCGCGUCCUCCAGCUCACGGUUCUCCCUCCUUGCCGAGCUGGCGGCGGGACGGGGACACCCAGGCGGCGGGGAGCUGCUCCCUGCCCUUGCUACCGUGCCCUCAUGGGGGACAUGGCGGAGGCCGCCCGGGGCGGCCUUUCCUCGGGCGCAAUGGUAGAGUUGCCUGAGGGAACCGUCCAUUCAGGGGACCGAUGGCAGAGUUGCCUGAAGAAUCCAUCCCCUCAGAGAUGCCAUGGAAAAGCUGUCUGAGGGUUCCAUUCCCUCAUAGCCACCGUGGCAGAGCCGUCUGAGGGAUCCAUCCCCUUAGGGCCACCACGGCAGAACCACCUGAGGGAUCCAUCCCCUCAUGGCCGCCUGACAGAGCUGCUUGAGGGAUCCAUCCCCUCAUGGCCACCUGACAGAGCUGCCUGAGGGAUCCAUCCCCUCAUGGCCACCUGACAGAGCUGCCUGAGGGAUCCAUCCCCUCAUGGCCACCCUGGCAGAGCCACCUGAAGUUUCCAUCCCCUCAUGGCCACCACGGCGGAGCCCCUCUGGCUGGGGUGUCAGAAGCACCACACUCCUCCUCGCUUCUGUUCUUCAUGGGUAUAAAACACUGGAAAAUACAGAGCAAGGGCUGGUAUUUGGCUCUGUUCAUACUCCAGGAGUUUCUGUGCCCUUCUGCAGGGGCCACAGUGUUUCAGAGGAAUCCAAUUCCACGCUAAAUUUUUCAGCUUGAGGUCUACGCACCCACAAAAGACAGAUACCAUUUUAAACACCAUUCUAUCCAUCACUUCUGUGCUUCCAUACAAAAGAUUUCCAAGGGCUGUGUCAUUUUUUGUGCGAGCAGGAAACAGAAGCUGCAUAAAGCAAAAGUUUUUGCUCCAUGUUAGCAGUGGAGUUGUGGGCAAAGAGCACAAACACUGGCUCCUGGAUGACUGGACAAGCCCAGGUCAUGGUAGGAGAUCGUAGGACAGCAGAGCAGCAGAGAAGGAAACUGGCGGGAAAAACAGCGGAAAAACCCCUCAAGAUCAGAACGAGGAAGACAGAAAAUCUUGGAAGCAAAGAGGAAGGAAAAAAAACCCAACCAAACCCCUGUAAUCAGCAGGAAAUUCAGGAGAGUUUCAGUUCUCAGAGAGCAGCAAAGAGGCAUCACCCUUAUUUUGUGGGGGAAUUUUGA